ensembl:lncRNA
CUCCUCCCACUUUGUACUUCUGAAGCGAGCAAGAAGGAAGUGUGAACCCCACCAUGUAGGAGCGAGAGGGGGACAGGCCUGGGGCUCUGUCCGAGCCAAGGCGAACACCUUUUCUGCAGCCCCAAUUAGCGCCCGGCGGAUUAGCACCUUCUUAAGCUCUGCCUGGAAGCAGCCGAGGUCUUUCGCCGUCCACCCCCACCCGCCGCGGACUGGGAGUCAGGGCUCCCCGCCCCCACGCGCCCCACCCCCGCCCGCCCCGAGAAAAGUUUUCACCGAAAACCCGAGGCUGCCAGAGCCGGAGUGGAAGCCACUGACGUCACUGGCGGGCUAGGGCACGGAGGGCGCCUGGAGACUCGGAUGGCGACCGAGGAUGUGGCUGCUUCCAAGGUGUCUCCAUCUGCGGGCAGGGAGGGGGCUCAGCCCCGGAAGCGGGCAGAGUUUGCACAGUUCAGGAGCGAAGGGUGGGAGCAAGCUGCCCGGGCCUGGCCUACUUGACGGGACGCGGGGUGCGUGCCUGCUUCCCAGGCUCCCCCCUCCCCUGCCAGGUGCCCGCAGCGGGGGCGACGCGGCCAGGGAGGGGUGCACGGAGGUGUCGCAGGACCGAGGCCACGCGCAAGUCGCCCUGUUCCUUGAGGCUUCCAUUUGCACCGGGUCGAGGUCACCGCUGCCCUCCGAGGCCGGGCUCUUCCCCUGCACCCUGGGAUGCCCGCCCGGGUUGUCCCACUCGGGAACAGGACGCAUCAUCCUGGAGCCGGGGCAAGAGCGUGCUCGGGGCCACAGCCCCCUUUCCGCCAGCCCCCAGCCCCGGCUGGGCUCCAGGUUCCCCGUCCCCAGGGUGCCGCUCAGCUCCGGGAUGUACUUUUGGCUCUCAGCCUCUGAAGUCAGGGUUGUCCACCGGUGUCCCCGCAUCCUGAACUUCUGCUGUCCCUGUGGCCAGCAGAGGCGCGGCGCCAGCUGCUGAAGUGGGAAGAGGGCAUGUUUCUGUCGGAGGGGUCUGGACAGACGCCUGCGUCCCUUUACGCAGCCCUGGGGAGGUGAGUUCCCCAUGGGCGGCAGCCACACGCGGAUCCCGGGACCCGAAGCUGAAGGCCUCUCGCCCCGCCCAGGGCCAGGGCCUCCUCUGCCCGAGCCCCUCACACCCUUCUUUCGCCUUCACCCUGCUCAGCUCCUGAUCAUCCUCGCCAAGCUCAGAGGCCUCCAAGCGCGGCCAAGCUUGGCUGGCGAAGCCGUGGCGCCCCGGCCCUUUCUCGCCUCUGCACCGGCUGUGCUCCGAGCUGCCUCCCUUCCAAGGACACUGGGCAGCCGGCUUCCUUCUGCUUCUGCCCCCCUCCCCCCGCUUAGAAACGGUACUUUCCGUUGGGUCCCCCAGAGCAGCCCAGGGUCUAACUCCCAACGCCCCGCGGCCCCAUGUUAAAGCUCCUGCGGUGAGCGGGCCUUGCGCGCAGCGCCCUGGCAGUCUUGCAAACAGGAUUCCUGGGAAAGUUUGCUCGGACUCCGUCAGCCCAGGACAGACCCCCCCCCCCCCCACCUCUGCUGCUCUCGACCUCUGCCCCCAGAGGCAGGAGUUGGGCUUCCUGGGAGCAGCAAGCCAACGCCACGGCCCCUCCUCCCUCCACAGCUGCCGGUCCCGAGGGCGCAGGACCCAGCCCCAGGCUGUGCUCCCGGAGCCGGGGGAGGAGAGCGAACCUCAGGGCUGGCUCUCCACAGCCGCCGGAGCUGAGUGCAUCCCGAUCGGCUUUUAGGAUGGCAUUGACUGGGACAAGCUGUUCCCAGCCCCGUCUCACAGAUGCUGACUUCCAGACUGUGCGCAGGGGAGAACCAAAUGCCCGGGGGCGGACCGGGGCGGCCGAGGGGCCCUGACGCCUCCCGACGCAGUCGAAAGGGAAGCCGCGAGCCACACCGCCAAUGUGGGCUUCAGACCCUGGGUCGCCCGCGCCACUGCCGGGCUGCCGGAAGUUUACGGAGCCGGAGCCGAGAGACUCCCACGCGCCUCCUCUGCCCUGGAGGGAGGCUGGGUCCCCUCCAGGGUGCCUCUCAAACCCUAAAACAAAUACAUAAAAGCCCAGGCCUUGGGGACUUUUGAACAGCAAUUGCUCCAAUAAUCCAAAUUGUACGAGAACUCCAGGGAAAAGAGCCAACCCAGCCACACCCGCCCUGCGAUCGCGAGGGCAGCGGCGAGGCCACCGCGAGGACUCGGUCAGAGGCGAUUAUGUCACCGCGUUUUCUCGCCGUGACAGCCGAAUAAACACGAUCUCCAAUAAACAUCUCUAAUGAGGGAGGAGGCCCGAGGACGGCUGGGUUUGAUUUAUGACUGGAGAAGGUCCUCUGCCCACAGCGAGGCGGGCAGCCUGCUCUCCGCUCAGCUCGAGGAGAGAUCCGCGUGGGACCCAGCCCAGAAAUUAAGAGAAGAAGAGGAGAAGUGCGCACACUACUGAGAAAACACCAUGUGCAUCUCUGGAGCAUUGCAGACGCCAUACCAGCGUAGCCCAGAGAAGAAACCAGCUGGGCUGUGAGGGUGCUUUCCUGCUCCUCCCUUCCUUCUUUCGUUUUAACCCUUUUUAUAUUUUAGAUGAAAAUUGCGGGAACGUUUUGUGAACCCGAACGUAAAAAAGGAAGCUAUUUAGCAGAGGCGCUGUUUGCGGCUCUUCGCCUGUCUGAGGGACUCCAUUGGGCCUGCUCUGCACACCUCUGAUUUCUCUGCCCUUACAAGAAGAGCAUCUCGGGCCUCCUUCUCUGCAAAAAGUUUUCUUCAACCUUGGAGAAAAAUAUCCAGUCCUUCCAGUUAGAGUUCCCAGUACUAAAUCCCUACUUCAGUCAGUUCAAGGAAUCGGCCACCCUCUCCUAAGCGCGUUUCCUAUGAAGGCAUCGCGCACUGUGUUUGAUUUCUGUCUCUCCGUCUGGGUGGAGAUGGAGACAUCAGCUGAAUUCCCUGGGGGUGAUUGGAUGCGACUCGCUGCAAGUCGACAGGCACGUCCUGGAUGUUAGAGAUUCACUUCUGCUCAACGUGACAAGGCCGGCUUCGAUCUGCAAUUGUAUUUGAAUGGGCAAUGAGCGGAAAGAUGCCUCGUCAUUAAGCCUGCUUCUACUUUAGCAAAAUAAGGGGCAGCUUCAUUUGCACACAAAUGCUCAUGAAGCUCGGAUUCCUGCAACUCUUUAAUAAAGGGGUGGCUGUGUAAUCUAAACUGGAGGUGAGGAGGAGGCAGAGGGAGAUGAGGUGCUCCACUGCGUGCCCCCCAAGGUCUGUGUGAUCCAGUUGACUUUUUUACUUGAAAUCUUAAAUAAGAUGGGAGUUGUAACAAGAGGAUUGGCACUUACUCCGUGACCCUUAUAAUUGGAUUAAAUAUAGACUGAGACAUACAAAGACACCGGAGAUUGACACCUGCCAACCGGACUUCCUUAUGACUGAUGGUGAUGCUUCGUGCUGGCAACAAUAAUGAAAUAAAUUGUACGGAUAAAACAGCGCAUUUGUCAUUUCCGUGCCAUGAGUGAGGAAGUCAACAGUGAGGCAAGCUGUUAGCUGACAGGAGAGAGCGGGAGGCGAGCUAAAGAGAUAAAUAAGG